rnacentral:lncRNA from 1 species
UGUAGUCCAAAACUUUAUUUUAUAAGUGGGAAAUGCUUGGGUACUACCAAAAUAAGAAUAAAAUGUUAGUUUAAAUUACAUUUAUAAAGAAACAAUUCCAAAAUAAUUAAUUUAAAAUAAUAGUACUUCCCUUGCACUGAAGAAUGGCAUCUAUAUAUUCUGUCUUCCAACUGGCAUUUAGAGAAACUCUUAGAUACAUAUUUUGAAUAAUAGAUUAAAAUGUUUAAUUAAAAACAUCCAUAUACAUCAAGGUGAAAAUACUCUAAACAGAAAUCACCUUGUUAAAAUUGGUAAGUCAGUUUGGCAACUUGUACUGAUAACAGAUAUAUAUAUAUAUACUGAUAUCUGACAAUAACACGAUUAAGCAUAGAAAAAACUGGCUUGUAUAUCUUCUUGGUUCCUUGUUGUAAAAUUUAUAUUAGUUCAUUUUUUAAAACCUGAACUCAUACUUUUG